rnacentral:rRNA from 1 species
GACGAACGCUGGCGGCGUGCUUAACACAUGCAAGUCGAACGGAAAGGCCCUGCUUUUGUGGGGUGCUCGAGUGGCGAACGGGUGAGUAACACGUGAGUAACCUGCCCUUGACUUUGGGAUAACUUCAGGAAACUGGGGCUAAUACCGGAUAGGAGCUCCUGCUGCAUGGUGGGGGUUGGAAAGUUUCGGCGGUUGGGGAUGGACUCGCGGCUUAUCAGCUUGUUGGUGGGGUAGUGGCUUACCAAGGCUUUGACGGGUAGCCGGCCUGAGAGGGUGACCGGCCACAUUGGGACUGAGAUACGGCCCAGACUCCUACGGGAGGCAGCAGUGGGGAAUAUUGCACAAUGGGCGGAAGCCUGAUGCAGCAACGCCGCGUGCGGGAUGACGGCCUACGGGUUGUAAACCGCUUUCGCCUGUGACGAAGCGUGAGUGACGGUAAUGGGUAAAGAAGCACCGGCUAACUACGUG